rnacentral:rRNA from 1 species
AUUGAACGCUGGCGGCAGGCCUAACACAUGCAAGUCGAACGAGUGGCGGACGGGUGAGUAAUGUCUGGGAAACUGCCCGAUGGAGGGGGAUAACUACUGGAAACGGUAGCUAAUACCGCAUACCAUCGGAUGUGCCCAGAGGGGAUGAGCUAGUAGGUGGGGUAACGGCUCACCUAGGCGACGAUCCCUAGCUGGUCUGAGAGGAUGACCAGCAACACUGGAACUGAGACACGGUCCAGACUCCUACGUGGUGCAGCAGUGGGGAAUAUUGCACAAUGGGCGCAAGCCUGAUGCAGCCAUGCCGCGUGUAUGAAGAAGGCCUUCGGGUUGUAAAGUACUUUCAGUGAGGAGGCGUUACUCGCAGAAGAAGCACCGGCUAACUCCGUGCCAGCAGCCGCGGUAAUAC